GGGGAUAUAGCUCAGCUGGUAGAGCACCUGCCUUGCACGCAGGGGGUCAGCGGUUCGAAUCCGCUUAUCUCCACCA
rnacentral:tRNA from 2 species